rnacentral:rRNA from 1 species
GAUGAACGCUGACAGAAUGCUUAACACAUGCAAGUCUACCAAGAAUCACUUCGGUGAGGAAUGGUGGCGGACGGGUGAGUAACGCGUAAAUAAUCUGCCCUUUAGACUGGGAUAUCCUUUGGAAACGAAGGUUAAUACCGGAUACUAUGAGAUGGACGCAUGUUCAACUUAUGAAAGCUAAAUGCACUAGAGGAGGAGUUUGCGUCCCAUUAGCUAGUUGGUGAGGUAAAGGCUCACCAAGGCCACGAUGGGUAGCCGGCCUGAGAGGGUGAACGGCCACAAGGGAACUGAGACACGGUCCUUACUCCUACGGGAGGCAGCAGUGGGGAAUAUUGGACAAUGGACCAAAAGUCUGAUCCAGCAAUUCUGUGUGCACGAUGAAGGUCUUCGGAUUGUAAAGUGCUUUCAGUAGGGAAGAAAAAAAUGACGGUACCUACAGAAGAAGCGACGGCUAAAUAUGUGCCAGCCGCCGCCGUAAAAC